AGGCUGACUGUUAAAAAAAUCUCACUUUAAUAUUUAAUUUUAGAUCUCAAAAAAUUUUAAGCAGCCCUCGUCCAAAUAAUUUAUUACUCAGAUCAACCAUAUUAUUAGCUCUCGGGAGUCGGGUUUAUUGAUCAACAAAAAAUCCACAAUUAGAAACAGAGGAGGCAAUGGUGAGAGAGAGAGAGACAAUGAGCUUCAACUUUAUCACAGUAGUAGAAUUGUGGGUUUUAUUGAGUGAGGUGAGAUGGGAAUUGGGUGUGAACAAGUUAGGUAAAAUGAUGUACUUUUUUGAAGGUAGAUAUGAAUCAAUCAUAUCGUAGCUUUCUUGUUGAGAGAGACAGAGAGAAUCAGGGUGUUGAUGAUGUUGAAGCAACCAGUGAUUGCUUAACAAUGGGGAAAACAUCCAGAUGGGUACGUACCUGAUUGAAGUUUUUGUGGGCAUCAUUGAACAUCUUCUCCAAAUUUAUCAUAUAAGUACCAUAUCAAUUUAUUGAUGACAAUGAUGUUAUGGUGAGAGAGUUUUCGAAUCUUGUUCAUCAUGUUUUUGCAAAGAAUGCUAUUGAAUUGAUAAAUCCAAUCCAUGUUCCCCCCCCCUUAAUUUCUAUCAAAUGAAUGAUUUUGAUCUCCUAAUUCAUGAAUUUGGGAAAGGAUAGAAUUUUCUUUUUUUUUUUAUGAUAUAAUUUGUACAAUUUGUGUUUAUCAGUUGAGUGAAAUUCUUUGAAUUUCUUUCAUAUAUAAUGUUGUAGAUUCUUAGGCUUAAAUUACAAUCAUUCAAUCAGAAGUAGUGGCACACAGAUAAGAUUGAAGUUGAUCUAGGGAGUUGGGAGAGGUAAGAUUGAAGUUGAGCCAACAAAAGGAAGAUUUUAAUUUUUUGAGAGUUUCAAUGACCGUCUGUAUCGGAGAUCAAACGGUCUUACAAGAAUCUAGAUUUACAGUGGCACACAGAUAAGAAUUUUUUGACAGUAGAGAAGAAAUUGAGGUCAAAUUCUGAGAGAAAUAUAUGCUGCAUAUGAGAUUUGGAAAGUGUGAGUUGCAGUGUUCUAGUUAGCAUUGGCCUUAUAAUAUAUCAGGUACUGCACUUGUCUGAAUACUAUCACUUUCCUCAGUAAUUAAUCAGUAUGGGAAGCUGGGUUCUAUCGUAAAUUACUGCACAGUGAAUGUUAAGGCAGUCUGAUUAAUUUAGAGUGGCAUCAAAUAUCUCUUUAGGAUUUUCUGAGGCACAUAGCUAUGAGGAAAUUUUAAGGAAAAACAGGCUUUGUUUGUCCAUUGGGCAUGUUUUGCAGUGCCAUCUGAGUCAAAUCAUAGUAUUCAAUGAUUGUUGAGAAAGGGACAGGCUGGUGCAGAAAGCUAUCCUUGGUAUGGGUCUGGACCUAGUUCUUGGGGUGCUUAUGACAUGCAGCGAGCUCAUGUACAGAGAUAAAGAGUAUUAUGGUUAUCAUGCCAUGCUGUGGACUGUUAUCUUGCUUUUCUAUGCUGCUACUUUGGUUGGCAAGUGGUAGAUGCUUAAAUUUGGUUAUGAAAUAUUGUCUUAUGAUAGACAUUGUGGAAGAUAUGCUGUCUAGUGGCGGAUUUGUUCACUGAAUUGUGAAUUUAUUUGUUGAUAGAAACGCUUAUGUAAUCAAAACUGUGUUGAAUUCUUUAGCUU